rnacentral:lncRNA from 1 species
UUUUUAUAGUGCUCGACUUGCACUUUUACAUUUGUAACUUCAGUAGUUAGUGUAAUAACUUGUUCUUGUAAUAACUCCAUUUGUUUAAACAUUUGGAGCAAUAAAUCAGUCUGGGUAUCUUUGACAUCAGCCUCUUCCAUUGGUAAAUCAGUUUGAGUAGCUUUGUCUUGAUAAGUAAUCUGCAAUGAUAUUUUUGUUAGUAUUGAUUACUUCAAUUGUAAAUGUAAAAUUCAGUAUAUUUAAUACUAGUCUACGAAUUUCCUUUGUCG